rnacentral:rRNA from 1 species
UGCGGUUAAAAAGCUCGUAGUUGGAUUUCUGUCGAAGGCGGCCGGUCCGCACUAUGUGCGUGUAUCUGGUUCGGUUUUGGCAUCCUCUUGGGGAACGUUUCUGUGCUUGAUUGCAUGGGGCGGAAUUCAAGACUUUUACUUUGAGGAAAUUAGAGUGUUCACGGCAAGCUAUCGCUUUGAAUACAUUAGCAUGGAAUAAUAAUAUAGGGCGUAAGUUCUAUUUUGUUGGUUUCUAGGACAUACGCAAUGAUUAAUAGGGACAAUUGGGGGCAUUCGUAUUAACGCGUCAGAGGUAGAAUUCUUAGAUUGCGUUACGACGAACUACUGCGAAAGCAUUUGCCAAGGAUGUUUUCAUUGAUCAAGAACGAAAGUAUGGGGAUCGAAGACGAUUAGAUACCGUCGUAGUCUAUACCAUAAACUAUGCCAAUUAGAGAUUGGAGGUCGUUCGUUUUAUGACUCCUUCAGCACCUUAUGAGAAAUCAAAAUUUUUGGGUUCCGGGGGGAGUAUGGUCGCAAGGCUGAAACUUAAAGGAAUUGACGGAAGGGCACCACCAGGAGUGGAGCCUGCGGCUUAAUUUGACUC